CUAAUUAAAAAUUAAUUUCCCGAAAUUAAAAGAUCUAUUUUAUAAAUGAUUAACUGUUUCAAAAUUUUAUUAAUUUUAGAAUAGUAGUGAUAAGCUUACCAAUUUUAAUUAUAUCUGGAUAGAUUUUAAAUGUAUAUAGUGCUGGAAUAUUUCUAAUUAUAAAAAUGAUAAGAUUUUUUUAAUAAAGUAAAAUUUAUAUUAAUAUGUAAUUUAUAUGAUUUUUAUUAUAGAAUUAAUUAGUAUUAUUUUUUUCUUAAUAUUAAAAUCUUAUUAUAAUUAAUUCUUAUUAUAAUAAAUACUGUUAAAAUUAGUAUAUUAUUUAUAUUUUAAAAAAGAACUCGGCAAAAUUUUAUUCAACUGUUUAUCAAAAACAUAGUUUUAUGAAGUUAUAUAAAAUUAAUUCUGCCCAAUGAAAUUUUAAUGGCCGCAGUACUUUGACUGUGCUAAGGUAGCAUAAUAAAUUGGCUUUUAAUUGAAGUCUUGUAUGAAAGGAAUAAUGGAUAAAAACUGUUCUUUAAAAUUUUAUAAAAUUUAUUUAAAAGGUGAAAAUACCUUUAAUUUAAUAAUAGACGAGAAGACCCUAUGAGUUUUAAUUUUGUUGGGGC
rnacentral:rRNA from 1 species